UGCUUACUCCCUCUGUUCGAAAAUACUUGUCAUCAAAAUGGAUAAAAAGAGAUGUAUCUAGAACUAAAAUACGUCUAGAUACAUCCCCUUUUAUCCAUUUUGAUGACAAGUAUUUCCGGACGGAAGGAGUACAUA
rfam:Triticum aestivum genome assembly, contig: Triticum_aestivum_CS42_TGACv1_scaffold_591817_7BS